UAGCUAUUUAGGUUAGAGUUUGAUCCUGGCUCAGAUUGAACGCUGGCGGCAUGCUUUACACAUGCAAGUCGAACGGCAGCACGGGGGCAACCCUGGUGGCGAGUGGCGAACGGGUGAGUAAUGCAUCGGAACGUAUCCUUAAGUGGGGGAUAACGCAUCGAAAGAUGCGCUAAUACCGCAUAAUCUCUGAGGAGAAAAGCAGGGGAUCGUAAGACCUUGCGCUUUUGGAGCGGCCGAUGUCUGAUUAGCUAGUUGGUGAGGUAAAGGCU
rnacentral:rRNA from 1 species